UCGAACGGAAAUUCCGGCGUGUGGAUGCCGACGAUGACGAAGCCCUUGUCCUUGUACUUGGAAUAGAGCUGCGUGACGUGCGGCAGGGUGUGGACGCAGUUGACGCAGCCGUAGGUCCAGANNNNNNNNNCGACCUUGCCGCGCAGGCUCGCGAGCGUCAGCGGUUGCGAGUUGAACCAGUUGCCGAGGCCGGUGAAUUCGGGAGCAGUCGUUGUGGCUUCCGCGACUUGAACAGCGCCACUGGUCGCUGCGGCUUCAUCGCUGCGGCCGGGCAAUGUCGAGGC
rnacentral:misc_RNA from 1 species